rnacentral:misc_RNA from 1 species
AACUUUUGGCAACGGAUCUCUUGGUUCUGGCAUCGAUGAAGAACGCAGCGAAAUUCGAUAAGUAAUGCGAAUUGCAGAAUUCAGUGAGUCAUCGAAUCUUUGAACGCACAUUGUGCCCUUUAGUAUUCUGAAGGGCAUGCCUGUUCGAGUGUCAUUAUCACUAAUCAAGCUUGGCUUGCUGUUGGGCCUCUUGUCGUUAAAAAACCGACAGGCCUUAAAAAUAAUGACGGCGUUACUUGGACCCUAGAUGCAACGAGCUUUCAUUAGCACGCGUUUAGUUGGACCUUUUAACCCAGUCUCUUUUAACCAAUUUUCUAAGGUUGACCUCGGAUCAGGUAGGAAUACCCGCUGAACUUAAGCAUAUCAAUAAGCGGAGGCU